UGGUUCGCAACAAGCCGAUCAAUAGGGAAGGAGGUGAGAAUCCUCCACUGUCCCGCAGCUGUAAUUCGUUCUUUUGCAGACAAACAAUGGAUGCCAUCGGCAUCUGACAGUCACUGAGCAUACUUGGGAAGACGUUUGUCAUGCAGACGAUAAGUCAGAAGACCUGCCAUCAUUC
rnacentral:ncRNA from 1 species